UACGAGGGGGGGCGAGCGUUGUUCGGAAUUAUUGGGCGUAAAGGGUGCGUAGGCGGUUUGGUAAGUCUUGUGUGAAAUCUACAGGCUCAACUUGUAGUCUGCACGAGAAAACUGCCGGGGCUUUGAGUAUGGGAGAGGUGAGUGGAAUUCCUGGUGUAGCGGUGAAAAUGCGUAGAUAUCAGGAGGAACACCUGUGGCGAAAAGCGGCUCACUGGACCAUAACUGACGCUGAUGCACAAAAGCUAGGGGGGAGCAAAACAGGGAUUAGAAAACCCCUAGUAG
rnacentral:rRNA from 1 species